AUUGAACGCUGGCGGCAGGCCUAACACAUGCAAGUCGAGCGGCAGCGGGAAAGUAGCUUGCUACUUUUGCCGGCGAGCGGCGGACGGGUGAGUAAUGCCUGGGAAAUUGCCCAGUCGAGGGGGAUAACAGUUGGAAACGACUGCUAAUACCGCAUACGCCCUACGGGGGAAAGCAGGGGACCUUCGGGCCUUGCGCGAUUGGAUAUGCCCAGGUGGGAUUAGCUAGUUGGUGGGUAAUGGCUCACCAAGGCGCCGAUCCCUAGCUGGUCUGAGAGGAUGAUCAGCCACACUGGAACUGAGACACGGUCCAGACUCCUACGGGAGGCAGCAGUGGGGAAGAUUGCACAAUGGGGGAAACCCUGAUGCAGCCAUGCCGCGUGUGUGAAGAAGGCCUUCGGGUUGUAAAGCACUUUCAGCGAGGAGGAAAGGUUGUUGGCUAAUAUCCAACAGCUGUGACGUUACUCGCAGAAGAAGCACCGGCUAACUCCGUGCCAGCCGCCGCGGUAAGAC
rnacentral:rRNA from 1 species